rnacentral:rRNA from 1 species
AUACGUAGGGGGCAAGCGUUAUCCGGAUUUACUGGGCGUAAAGGGCGUGUAGGCGGUCUUGCAAGUCAGAAGUGAAAUUCCUGAGCUCAACUCGGGCGCUGCUUCUGAAACUGCAGGACUUGAGUGCUGGAGGGGAUAGCGGAAUUCCUAGUGGAGCGGUAAAAUGCGCAGAUAUUAGGAAGAACACCGGUGGCGAAGGCGGCUAUCUGGACAGUAACUGACGCUGAGGCGCGAAAGCGUGGGGAGCAAACAGGAUUAGAUACCCUGGUAGUCCACGCAGUAAACGAUGAUGGCUAACCGCUGGGCUUAUCAGUUCAGUGGCCAAGCGAAAGCGAUAAGCCAUCCACCUGGGGAGUACGACCGCAAGGUUGAAACUCAAAGGAAUUGACGGGG